GCGGCAGUCUAUCAAACACCACCGCGUAAGACCAAGCUCAGACCAGCACCGGGAGGGGGACUGUGCUUGUGGGAACAAGUGCUUGGGAGUUGUGACUUAAAACAGGUGCAUCGUCCCGGACUUAAAGAUGCUUCCCCUCUGUCGAGACGUCUUACACGCUCCCCACCCCUUCCUUGGCGCAGCAACACGCAAGUCCGCGGAACCGUAGAGGGACUCAAGACGUACACGUUGAAGUUUACGCCGCGUAGUGCCACCGCAGCUCCUUAGUAUUGCGCUUACCGUCCGAGGUGAACCAUUCAGGUCACUCUUCCACGUUCUUCUGCACACCACAAGUGCUUUUGAUGUACACCCCCCACAGACCACAUGUGUUGUUCAGAUUAUUGUGAUUUAUUUUACUCUUCAUCACGGUCGCAUCAGUGCUCAGUGUUCUAGUGACUUGUUCAUAUUUUGAAAUGCACGCGUUCAACACUUGUUUGGUGACCGCUCAACAAUCAGCCACUUCGAAUUAAUUUUAAUGUAGUACAAUUUGACCUUGGUACUACAAAUCAAAUUUGAAUACUAGAUACAAUCCAGAUUAGUACCGUACGUAUAAUGGAAGGAAAUUUGAGCCAAACAAAAAAAAUGGCAAUUGUCAGCCGGUGAUGGCCAACUGAUCGCAUGCCGUGUGUGGGUUUGAAGGGGGUGGUCCACCGCACUGGGGGUUAAUACGCAAUCAAAAUGGUCGUCUGGGCGGGAGCCGAUAAUGCAGAACGCAGAACCGUAGGGGGAGGGGGCGGCGGCGAACCAACGCGGGAGGCCAAGGUUAGCUAAUUGACAGCGUUCCCCUUCGUCAUGGCUUAGCCGGCUCAUGUGGUGACGUCAUCCAUCCAUCAUGGCCCCCGCGGAUGU